CGUCGUCAGAAAGGUUCAGGUCCGCAAAGAUUUGGCCAGAUUAGUGGCAGCGAGUUGGUUUGGGACAACAGCUACUGUCAGGACAGGCUUCCUGUGAGAUGGGACUUGAACCGGUUCCAUCCAAGUCGAGUUGGCCCAGAGCUGCUGAAGUGACUUGCAGUCCCAGAGCUGCUGGAGUGACUUAGCAGUUGGCAAGGUGUCCCCUGAACUACAGAAGUUGUAUAUUGGGCCAGAAGCAGACCUGGAAAAGCUGAUGACAAAGGCCUGCCAACAGUGCUGAGACUAGCAUUCCCCAGUUCACUGAAGGCCCUGGAAUGAGACAUCUAGGAUAGACCUGAACCACCUCACAACUUGAAGCCAAACCCACCUAAGCCCAGCAGAGAUCAGCUAAACCACAACUGAUCUACAGACUUGACUUUGCUUCCUAUUUUUUCCUGCCUCCCAUAUGGUAUGAAGAUAUGAUACUUUGAGGUGCUCCAGCCGUCUUGCAACCAUGAGGUAAAGGCCAAGAGAACUUCCCAAAUGUUACCAUAAUUAAGAUGCUAAAUCAGUGACAGCAACGCUCUACCUGCAGACUUCUUGUUAUGCAGAAAA